GAUCAUGGCUCAGAUUGAACGCUGGCGGAAUGCUUUACACAUGCAAGUCGAGCGGCAGCGGCGGGGGCAACCCUGGCGGCGAGCGGCGAACGGGUGAGUAACAUAUCGGAACGUACCCAGUCGUGGGGGAUAACUAUCCGAAAGGAUAGCUAAUACCGCAUACGUCCUGAGGGAGAAAGCGGGGGAUCGCAAGACCUCGCGCGAUUGGAGCGGCCGAUAUCGGAUUAGCUAGUUGGUGGGGUAAAGGCUCACCAAGGCGACGAUCUGUAGCGGGUCUGAGAGGAUGAUCCGCCACACUGGGACUGAGACACGGCCCAGACUCCUACGGGAGGCAGCAGUGGGGAAUUUUGGACAAUGGGCGCAAGCCUGAUCCAGCCAUGCCGCGUGAAGGAUGAAGGCCCUAUGGGUUGUAAACUUCUUUUGUACGGGAAAAAACCUUCUUACGUGUAAGAAGCUGAUUGUACUGUAAGAAUAAGGAUCGGCUAACUCCGUG
rnacentral:rRNA from 1 species